CGGGAAUUCGAUUUUCCGGUUGAUCCUGCCGGACCCGACUGCUAUUUGGGUGAGGAUAAGCCAUGCGAGUUGAAUGGGAAACCUAAAGUUCCCAUGGCAAACUGCUCAGUAACACAUGAUCAACUUACCCUAUAGAGAAAAAUAACCUCGGGAAACUGAGGAUAAUGUUUCAUAGUUGAAUUGGCUUGGAAAAGUUUUUCGACGAAAGGGGUAAAAAAAAUGGUUUUUAUCUGCUAUAGGAUAGGAUCGUGUUCGAUUAUGGUUGUUGGUGAGGUAAUGGCUCACCAAGCCGAUAAUCGAUAGGGGCCGUGAGAGCGGGAGCCCCGAGAUGGGUACUGAGACAACGACCCAGGCCUUACGAGGCGCAGCAGGCGCGAAACCUCCGCAAUACACGAAAGUGUGACGGGGUUACCCAAAGUGUUCAAUUUUGAACUGUGGUAGGUGAGUAAUGUUCCCUACUAGAAAGGAGAGGGCAGGGCUGGUGCCAGCCGCCGCGGUAAAACCAGCUCUUCAAGUGGUCGGGAUAAUUAUUGGGCUUAAAGUGUCCGUAGCCGGUUUAGUAAGUUCCUGGUAAAAUUGGGUAGCUUAACUAUCUAUAUGCUAGGAAUACUACUAUACUAGAGGGCGGGAGAGGUCUGAGGUACUGCAGGGGUAGGGGUGAAAUCUUAUAAUCCUUGUUGGACCACCAGUGGCGAAGGCGUCAGACUGGAACGCGCCUGACGGUGAGGGACGAAAGCCAGGGGAGCGAACCGGAUUAGAUACCCGGGUAGUCCUGGCCGUAAACGAUGCAUACUAGGUGA
rnacentral:rRNA from 1 species